GAGACUAAUUUGCAGCAUAACUAGAGAUCUGAGAGAAGCCAAAGGUCUGGGAGACGGAAAGUCACCAGGAUGUACGGCGGCCAUAUAGGCAGAAAGUAACAUCAGCAGUAGAAUCAUGAGAGGCAGCCUGGCUGGGACAGAGUAUGUGCUCACCAGGUCCUCAGGAGGGUCCACACUCAGCCCAAAAAUCCACAUGACCUACUUCCCAACGAACUGGGAACGGAAACAGGGAGGAAGGAAGCGGUAGCCCCGCUUCUUGACCAGAGCAUCUGCUAAACCAUCAUGGCCUUCACGAAGGGCUUUCCACUGCCGAAGAUGCUGAUCCCAUUUUCCAAACACAAGCCUGGCAAAAGACCCCGCUCUUGGGCCUGGACCCUCAUGCCCAUGGUCACUCAAGCCAACAACAAAGAAGUUGGUCCCAGACUUGGAUGUGAUUAUGGAAGCAUUCUACUCAAUUUUUUCUAUCCUUCCUUUCUAGAUCUGCCAAAAGAUUGAAGCAUAAAAUUGCUUAGGAUGAGAAAAACCACAUUAAAAAAAAAACUUUUGUGAAGAGUUUUAUCAAAAUAGAACAAUCCCAUGUAUGAGAAAAUAGCAUUUUGGCUGGUUUGUUUUCUUUCAGUUGAUUACAGGCGCUGCAUGUGAACUCUGGCCUAUAUUCUGUGGUUGUUCCUUCAAUAAAAACUAAAACUUCAGCUGUGUUGGAAAAUGC